GAUGAACGCUGGCGGCGUGCCUAAUACAUGCAAGUCGAGCGAACAGACGAGAAGCUUGCUCCUCUGAUGUUAGCGGCGGACGGGUGAGUAACACGUGGAUAACCUACCUAUAAGACUGGGAUAACUUCGGGAAACCGGAGCUAAUACCGGAUAAUAUUUUGAACCGCAUGGUUCAAUAGUGAAAGACGGUCUUGCUGUCACUUAUAGAUGGAUCCGCGCUGCAUUAGCUAGUUGGUAAGGUAACGGCUUACCAAGGCAACGAUGCAUAGCCGACCUGAGAGGGUGAUCGGCCACACUGGAACUGAGACACGGUCCAGACUCCUACGGGAGGCAGCAGUAGGGAAUCUUCCGCAAUGGGCGAAAGCCUGACGGAGCAACGCCGCGUGAGUGAUGAAGGUCUUCGGAUCGUAAAACUCUGUUAUUAGGGAAGAACAGAUGUGUAAGUAACUGUGCACAUCUUGACGGUACCUAAUCAGAAAGCCACGGCUAACUACGUG
rnacentral:rRNA from 1 species